rnacentral:misc_RNA from 1 species
GAUGAAGAACGUAGCGAAAUGCGAUAAGUAAUGUGAAUUGCAGAAUUCAGUGAAUCAUCGAAUCUUUGAACGCACAUUGCGCCCUCUGGUAUUCCGGGGGGCAUGCCUGUUCGAGCGUCAUUAUAACCACUCAAGCUCUCGCUUGGUAUUGGAGUUCGCAAUCUCGCGGCUCCUAAAAUCAGUGGCGGUGCCUGUCGGCUCUACGCGUAGUAAUACUCCUCGCGAUUGAGUCCGGUAGGUUUACUUGCCAGCAACCCCCAAUUUUUACAGGUUGACCUCGGAUCAGGUAGGGAUACCCGCUGAACUUAAGCAUAUCAAUAAGCGGAGGA